AAAAAUGGGAAGUUUUUAAAAAUUUUUUUCAGUAAAAUAUAUUUCCCUAAACAUACCUUCUGAGCAAAACAAGAUAGUAUAUUUGACAUGAGCAAAGUCGACAAAGCCUGGGAUAGAUGACGUCAUUUACCCUUAGAGGUCAAAAUUUUUGAUAAAAUCAAUUUUAUAGAGACCUGAAAUUGAAUUGAAGAUUAUUGAUAGAAUUUUUAGAAGAGAAAAUGUUAGCACUUUCAAAUUGCUAUGCUGAGGUGGACUUGUAUGUUUCACAGCUUGAUGGUAACAAGAAUUGGA
rnacentral:misc_RNA from 1 species